CUUGGGGAGCCCUGCAUACUUGAGGCCUUCUGAAGAGCAAGGAAGCAAGUGUGUUUCAAUAAGGAUGGUGUGCCAGUCACAGCACGGAGCAGCUGGCCCUGUACUGCUCAAAUCCCUUCUUCCCUUCUGUUCGGGUCAGUUUGCAGUGUCAAUUUAGAUGCAGUGCAUAUUUUUGCGUUUGAAUCAGAGAAACACCCUCCACGGCCCCAUGACCAUAUGCUUUCAACAAUCCGAGUGUAAAUGCCCGGCACUUCACGCGUCUGCUUUAUGAGAUGAGCUCCAGCCUUUAAGCAUGCAAGUCCCAUCAAAAGUGCCUGAAGUCACAGCUCCAAGGAUGAGCAGCUCCUGGUUGCGAUGCGGUGACACUGAGGUAUGAGCUGGAGCCAUCCAUCGCUGCUGCCCUCAGCCAACCACUGCGUCUUUACCUGCUGCCUUUCUCUUUAAAUGGUCCCAGAAGCAGAUUAGAAAACUGCCAAGCUAAAUCUUGAGUUCUUCAUUCCAUCUGUACCGAAGAUGGCAGUUGUCUUGUGUGUAGAAGGGCAAUGUGAAAUCCAAUAAAGGUUUUAUGCUGCUACUAUGGAGGCUAAAGACAGCAGCCCAGCAGUGUGCUUAAAGCACAGAGGGGAAAACUGGAUCCAAGCAUUUGGGCCAGGAGAGAAGCAGGACAAUCAGAGUCUUCCGUGUUUGUGCAUACGAGGUGGGAUAUUAAUUAUUGCGAACUCUUAUUCAUAAUCCCACAAUGUGAAUAACAUCAAACCACAGGCUGCAUGAGGAUGCUGAAAGGUUAGGAUAUCAGUACGCCUUUCUGUUCAGGUCAUCUACUGCAAAUCAAGGACACCAAACUCUUCGGCAUCCCACUUCCCUGAUGGAUACCUGGCUCGGUUCAGCUGUCCCGUGAUUUCUUGUGCUAGUGUCUUUCCUGCUUUUUCCCUUUCGAUGUGUUUCUGUGCAACUAAAGCAAUCACCUCACUACAGGGACUCAAGUGGAGAAGCAUGUUAGCAGAGCAGUCCUCCCUUCUUUGGAGCCAUGUAGGCCUCUAGAUUUCACUGAACAUUAUUUAAUCUCUGUGUUAG